rnacentral:rRNA from 1 species
AACGGAGGGUGCAAGCGUUGUUCGGAAUUACUGGGCGUAAAGCGCGUGCAGGCGGCAUUUUAAGUUUCGUGUGAAAGCCCUCGGCUCAACCGAGGAACCGCACGGAAUACUGAGAAGCUUGAAUACGGGAGAAGAGGGCGGAAUUCCCAGUGUAGAAGUGAAAUUCGUAGAUAUUGGGAGGAACACCGGCGGCGAAAGCGGCUCUCUAGACCGAUAUUGACGCUCAUACGCGAAAGCGUGGGUAGCAAACAGGAUUAGAUACCCUGGUAGUCCACGCUGUAAACGAUGGAUGCUAGGUGUUGCGGGAGUUGACCCCCGCAGUGCCGAAGUCAACACAUUAAGCAUCCCGCCUGGGAAGUACGGUCGCAAGACUAAA